rnacentral:rRNA from 1 species
AGUGAACGCUGGCGGCGUGCCUAAUACAUGCAAGUCGAACGGAGAUUAAGUAGCUUGCUAUUUAAUCUUAGUGGCGCACGGGUGAGUAAUGUAUAGUUAAUCUGCCCCAUAGUGGAGGACAACAGUUAGAAAUGACUGCUAAUACUCCAUACUCCUUCUUAUCAUAAGUUAAGUCGGGAAAGUUUUUCGCUAUGGGAUGAGACUAUAUCGUAUCAGCUAGUUGGUAAGGUAAUGGCUUACCAAGGCUAUGACGCGUAACUGGUCUGAGAGGAUGAUCAGUCACAUUGGAACUGAGACACGGUCCAAACUCCUACGGGAGGCAGCAGUAGGGAAUAUUGCGCAAUGGGGGAAACCCUGACGCAGCAACGCCGCGUGGAGGAUGACACUUUUCGGAGCGUAAACUCCUUUUGUUAGGGAAGAAUAAUGACG